GUUUAUAUGGUAGAAUAGACUUGUAGAGAAGUUAUGACGGUGGCUAUCCAAUUGGAAGAGAGGUGGUGCGUAUGAACGUACUUCCAAAAUCUAAAGAAAGGAGAAGCCUGUUGUCUGCAUUUGAAACAAUUCAGAUCAUUUUAAGUUUUGGUAUGUUUACCAUUGCUUUAAUUGGUUUGGU
rfam:Melissococcus plutonius ATCC 35311 DNA, complete genome.